ACAAUGGGCGCGGCGCCCGAGCCCCUGACAGCGCCAUAAAUUGGCCGUGCAAAGCCGAGCGCUAGGUGGUCCCCCCUGGAGAAAAGAGCCGCCGCCGAGGGCGCGAAAAGGAAGAACACCAUGGAAUAAGGAGAAAGGAGAUACAAGUAGCCUCUCCAGGAAGAAUGUGACUGAAUACUUUUUAUACAAAACCACAAAAUUAGAUAAAUAUGUAUUUAAGUGUUAUUCCUGAAAGCUGGAGAAAGAAAUCUUACUUCUAAGAAUUGUUUAGCGAAGGAAUAAGAAAAUGUGAUGCUUGGAAGAAAAAACACACUGCCGAGAGGCCUUGCGCUGAGUGUGCUGAACAAUAGACAACCUCUAAGGAUGCUCGCCUGCAAUUCCGGCUCUGCCAUCAAUUCACUGUAUGCCUUUGGAUCAUCUACAAGACAUGAAUGAUGUUCAGAAUUACUUGUCAUGCCCUUUGCUUGGGGCUGAAAACAAGAUGCAGUCACACAGAUUUCAAUGGAUAUGCAACUAAGACAUGCCUGAGUGAAGUUUCCUAGGAGCCAGAUAAUUAAUCCAACAUUUAUCUGAAAUGCUGAACUAACUUGCAUAAUUCUUCAAAUGAAUAUCACACCUUCGAUGGGGACAUACAAAUUGUUUCAACCUGAGGCUUGAAAAUAUGUGUCAUAAAGCAUUCUGAUUUAUCAAGAACACGUUGUAAUUUGUUGCAUUUGGAAUGUAGCUACCUAACUUCCUGAAUAUUUUAAUAAAAUACCUGUAAAAUUACACAAUCAAAACUAUACCUCCACCAAGCAAAGUGACAGAGAUGGUACUAACAUCAACAAAAAGUGAGAAAACGAGAGCAAAGAGAGAUUAAGUUGUCAAAGAUCACUCAGAAAGUGUGUAUGAAAAAUACUAGACAGGUCUUUCACUUGGAGACUUGUGUACUACAGCACACAUUUGAUUUACUUGGGCAGAACCACUUAAUCACUGGGUAUUGGCUUUGCUGUCUCGUGAGCAUCCCCUAACACAGCAGAGAUAUCAAGUUGAUAAUAUAAAUUCAAGACAAAAUGUCUGAACACUCAUCAGAAACUGUCUUUUAGUUUGCAGAGAAAUUUGUGCCUGACAUUUGAAAUUUUCAAGAUAAAUAAAAAAAUCGUGGCCACAUA
rnacentral:lncRNA from 1 species